rnacentral:rRNA from 1 species
GCUCAGGACGAACGCUGGCGGCGUGCCUAAUACAUGCAAGUCGAGCGGAGUUGAUGAAGUGCUUGCACUUCUGAGACUUAGCGGCGGACGGGUGAGUAACACGUAGGUAACCUGCCCAUAAGACUGGGAUAACCCACGGAAACGUGAGCUAAUACCAGAUAGGCAUUUUCCUCGCAUGAGGGAGAUGAGAAAGGCGGAGCAAUCUGCCACUUAUGGAUGGACCUGCGGCGCAUUAGCUAGUUGGUAAGGUAACGGCUUACCAAGGCGACGAUGCGUAGCCGACCUGAGAGGGUGAUCGGCCACACUGGGACUGAGACACGGCCCAGACUCCUACGGGAGGCAGCAGUAGGGAAUCUUCCGCAAUGGACGAAAGUCUGACGGAGCAACGCCGCGUGAGUGAUGAAGGUUUUCGGAUCGUAAAGCUCUGUUGCCAGGGAAGAACGCCUAGGAGAGUAACUGCUCCUAGGGUGACGG